GACGAACGCUGGCGGCGCGCUUAACACAUGCAAGUCGAACGGAAAGGCCUGCUUUCCCUUGUGGAUUGCGGGUACUCGAGUGGCGAACGGGUGAGUAACACGUGAGUGAUCUGCCCCCAACUUGGGUAUAAGCCUGGGAAACUGGGUCUAAUUCCCGAUAGGACUGCAGGGUGGUGCCUGUGGUGGGAAACGAUUUUCUAGUGGUUGGGGAUGAGCUCGCGGCCUAUCAGUUUGCUGGUGGGGUAAUGGCCUACCAAGGCGGGGACGGGUAGCCGGCCUGGGGGGGUGGGCGGCAGAAUUGGGACGGAGACACGGCCCAGGAGCCAACGGGAGGAAGCAGUGGGGAAUAUUGCACAAUGGGCGGAAGCCAGAUGCAGCGACGCCGCGUGGGGGAUGACGGGCUUCGGAUUGUAAACUCCUUUCGACCGCGAGGAAGCCACCUGGUUGGAAGGGUGGUGACGGUAGUUGUAGAAGAAGCACCGGCUAACUACGUG
rnacentral:rRNA from 1 species